ACGCGUAUCGAACAUGUCGGUGACGUCACUAGAUAAGCCAUCCCAGACGCUCCUUUAAAACCUGCUGCAUCUGCUCAACGCAUCUCAGAGCCUGGCUGGACGCCUUACAUCGUACACAUCCUGCACGAGACAGCCCGAGACAGACAGACAGGUUGAAUGACCUCAUGGAGAGACCAGCAGGACAUGGAGAGGAAGCAGAAGGAGGGACUGUUGAGCAAGGACGAUCUGAGCAAGGUCGGGGCCGUGGCUCUGGCUGCCGUGGGGGGUCUGUGUGCCGUGGACAUAGUGAGGUACACGACAAAGGCAGCCAAUGGGGAGAACACCGACGACUUCAACAGCUACACGUGGGACACUCUGAAGGCCAUUACCAGCGGGUGGCAGGACAACGAGAAUGAGAUGAAGGUGCUGUUGAAGGGCCUAGGCCUACAGGAAGCUGGACCGGUCAUGGAUAACAUCACACAGGCCAUUCAGAAACUCGAUAAUUAACCUGCCCCGAUGAAGAGAAAGGAAUGGAGGACAGAGAAAGAGAAGGCGCCUGGGGAAUGGAAGAGGAUGUGAAGGGAAAAGAAGAGGGAAGUAGAAGAGAAGAGAAGGAAGGAGAGGAGAGAGGACAGAAAAGAUAAAGAUGGAAGUAGAGGAAAGAAAAGGAGAGGAGAGAGAAGAGGGAAGGAGAAAAGAAGAGAAGGAAGGAGAGGAGAGAGGAGAGAAAAGGAAAGUAGAAAAGUGAAAAAGGGAGGAGAGGGAAGAAGAAGGAGAGGAAGGGAAAAGAGGAAAAAGGAAGGAGGAGGAGAGAAGGGGAAAGGAGAAAAGUGGAUAAGGAAGAAGAGAUGAGAGAGAAAUGAAAAAGGAAAAAGAGAAGACAAUGAAGUAAAGAAAAGGGAAGAGAAGAGGGGAAGGAAGGGGAGUGAGAAAAAAAUAAUAAUAUAGCAAGUUGAAUUUCCUAAUGGCUUCUAAGUAAUUGCAUGAUGUGAUUAAAUUGGGAUUACUAAUUGCUGUUGUUACUGCUUGUUAUUUUUAUUAUCAUUAUUAUUAUUAUUACCAUUACCAAAAAAAUAAGUUACCUGACUUUGUAAUGUUUGCUUGUGUUUAAUAUUUCUCAAAACUAAAGAAAACGAAUUACAA